CUUUUUUAAGGAUGAGUUCGCAAACUUAAUUGUCAGACCUUGGUAUUACUUGUGUAUCUGGGAGAAGAAAUAAGAGGUCAUCAUCAGUACGUUUUCAGCAAAAAAAAACUUUUAUCACAAUUUUUAAUUUGUUUUAUUACUAAUAACUUGAGCCCCUUUAAUGCAGAAUUAACUCCACUAAAAAUUUAGGAGUUUAUGUUCUUGGCUUGUUUAUUUAUAAAAUUUAUUCCACAGAUGUCUGAUGUCUAUUUAUUUAUUUUAGGCUACAUACAAUGAAGAAAAUGUUGGCAAAAUAAAUAAAUUUAAACCUUUUAUGUUAAAAUUACCGUGCAAGGUGACAAAUUAGUUGUUGGGGUUGUUUUUUUUUUCUUCAUUAUACUGAAAAUUAAAUUCAACAUUUAUAAUUUUGA